ACAACAAUGCAAAAUCUAUAUUGUGCUGUUUCUUGCCGCCUUUCAAAGUCAGUUUAGACAACUAAAGACGACAUUUUGUUUGAGGAAUUAAAUACGGGCAUUCAGUAGCAUUCUGCCUAUGAAAUUUUAGGAAAAAUUGCUUUAUUAAAUCGCAAUGAAGGUGAUAUCAUCCAGCGGCGUCAAGUCAAAGAACAAACUGAAAGAUUGUAUCGACUUAAAUGGUAGCGUAUCUACGUCCAUGUAAUCUGAAAAUAAAGUUGUUUAGUUGCAUUUGAAUGAAGCAAAUGCUGAUGUUCAACAUCCAACGGCUUCAAGUCGAAGUAUAAACUGAAAGAUUGUAUCGAUUUGGAUUUUACGAGAUGGUUAGUAAAACUUAGUAUUAUUGCAAAAUCUGUCAUCAGUCACUAACGAAAAGCUGACAAGCAAGCUCAUUGAAAAUAACUUCACUGUGUCUCACAAAUUUCUCCCAACGUCGAUCGAUACAUUGAGAAAGAAUUACCGGUUACUUAUGCCGUAUGCGGAAGGUUUUGUCAACAACAUCAGGACAAAUGAGAUGAUUUAACGAUGGUGGAGCAAAACGUGAAAGUUAUAAACGACACUGAAAUUAGUAAAACGUAAAUCGUAACUCUCACACCAACCUCUUUUACUGAAUCCAAGUUAGCCGCGAAGGUAAAAAUUUACAAAUCAAGUUGAAAGUCUCGUUUGCACGCUUUGAAAAUUGAAAUUGGUUUGAGAUAAUAAGAAUCACCUC